rnacentral:lncRNA from 1 species
GCGAUGAUGGUGGGAGUGUUGGGAUUCGCAAGGGUUUGUAGGUGGAGUUGUAAGUUGUUUCGUUUCGCACGGAAACUCCUACAAUUCCACUGCCACACAUGUAUCUCGUUACGGUGUGCAGCCAUGUUGGGCUGGGGAGGGGGAGGGACGAUGUUUGG